rnacentral:rRNA from 1 species
CCAGACUCCUACGGGAGGCAGCAGUGGGGAAUAUUGGGCAAUGGGCGCAAGCCUGACCCAGCAACGCCGCGUGAAGGAAGAAGGCUUUCGGGUUGUAAACUUCUUUUAAGAGGGAAGAGCAGAAGACGGUACCUCUUGAAUAAGCCACGGCUAACUACGUGCCAGCAGCCGCGGUAAUACGUAGGUGGCAAGCGUUGUCCGGAUUUACUGGGUGUAAAGGGCGUGCAGCCGGGAGUGCAAGUCAGAUGUGAAAUCCCGCGGCUCAACCGCGGAACUGCAUUUGAAACUGUGCUUCUUGAGUGCUGGAGAGGCAGACGGAAUUCCUAGUGUAGCGGUGAAAUGCGUAGAUAUUAGGAGGAACACCAGUGGCGAAGGCGGUCUGCUGGACAGUAACUGACGGUGAGGCGCGAAAGCGUGGGGAGCAAACAGGAUUAGAUACCCCAGUA